rnacentral:rRNA from 1 species
UACGGGAGGCAGCAGUAGGGAAUUUUCGUCAAUGGGGGGAACCCUGAACGAGCAAUGCCGCGUGAGUGAGGAAGGUCUUCGGAUCGUAAAGCUCUGUUGUAAGAGAAAAACGGCACUCAUAGGGAAUGAUGAGUGAGUGAUGGUAUCUUACCAGAAAGUCACGGCUAACUACGUGCCAGCAGCCGCGGUAAUACGUAGGUGGCGAGCGUUAUCCGGAAUGAUUGGGCGUAAAGGGUGCGUAGGUGGCAGAUCAAGUCUGGAGUAAAAGGUAUGGGCUCAACCCGUACUGGCUCUGGAAACUGAUCAGCUAGAGAACAGAAGAGGACGGCGGAACUCCAUGUGUAGCGGUAAAAUGCGUAGAUAUAUGGAAGAACACCGGUGGCGAAGGCGGCCGUCUGGUCUGGAUUCUGACACUGAAGCACGAAAGCGUGGGGAGCAAAUAGGAUUAGAUACCCUAGUAGUCCACGCCGUAAACGAUGAGAACUAGGUGUUGGGGGAAUAACUCAGUGCCGCAGUUAACGCAAUAAGUUCUCCGCCUGGGGAGUAUGCACGCAAGUGUGAAACUCAAAGGAAAUUGACGGA